rnacentral:tRNA from 1 species
GCUCAGAUAGCUCAAGUUCUAAGAGCGUAGCACUGAAGAUGCUAAGGUGGCGAACUUCGCCUCAGAGCA